rnacentral:rRNA from 1 species
UCUGUUGGUGCUGAUUGCCCCCCUGGGGAAGGUUCAUCCACCCAGGGUAAGUCGGGACCUAAGCCGAGGACUGAGGUCGUAGGCGAUGGACAGCAGGUAGAGAUUCCUGCACCACUUAUACUUGUUUGACGAAGCAGUGACACAGAAGGAUAGGACGAGCGCGGUGAUGGUCAACCGCGUAGGCGGCACGAGGCCGGGAAGCAGUGAAGUACACUUCCCGCAAAGGCUGAGUGUUGACAGGACCGAAAAGAAGUAGGGAAGCGUCCGAGUUCACGCUGGCGAGAAAAGCUGCUAAGGAGAGUGUGAGUGCCCGUACCGGAAACCGACGCAGGUGGGCGAGGAGAGAAUCCUGAGACGGACGGGAGAACUCUUGUUAAGGAACUCGGCAAAAUGACCCCGUAACUUCGGGAGAAGGGGUGCCUCGAAAGAGGCCGCAGAGAAUAGUCACAAGCGACUGUUUAGCAAAUACACAGGUAUCUGCGAAAGCGAGAGCUGACGUAUAGGUGCUGACGCCUGCCCGGUGCUGGAAGGUUAAGGGGAAGUGUUAGGGGAAACCCGAAGCAGAGAACCGAAGCCCCAGUAAACGGCGGCCGUAACAAUAACGGUCCUAAGGUAGCGAAAUUCCUUGUCGGGUAAGUUCCGACCCGCACGAAUGGCGUAACGACUUGUGAGCUGUCUCAACAGGAGGCCCGGUGAAAUUGAAGUAUGUGUGAAGAUGCACAUUACCCGCGACUGGACGGAAAGACCCCGUAGAGCUUUACUGUAACCUGACAUUGGAUCUUGAUAACGGAUGCACAGGACAGGUGGGACGCUGGGAGACGAGGACUUUGGUUUUCGUGGAGCGGCCGUUGGGAUACCACUCUUCUGUUAUUGAGAUUCUAACCUCAAGCCGUGAGCCGGAUGAGAGACAGUGUCAGGCGGACAGUUUGACUGGGGCGGUCGCCUCCGAAAGAGUAACGGAGGCGCCCAAAGGUACCCUCAGAAUGGAUGGAAACCAUUCGAAGAGAGCAAAGUCAGAAGGGUGCUUGACUGCGAGACCAACAAGUCGAGCAGGUACGAAAGUAGGGCUUAGUGAUCCGGCGGUAAGAGAGUGGAAUUGCCGUCGCUCAACGGAUAAAAGCUACCUCGGGGAUAACAGGCUGAUCUCCCCCAAGAGUUCACAUCGACGGGGAGGUUUGGCACCUCGAUGUCGGCUCGUCGCAUCCUGGGGCUGAAGCAGGUCCCAAGGGUUUGGCUGUUCGCCAAUUAAAGCGGCACGCGAGCUGGGUUCAGAACGUCGUGAGACAGUUCGGUCCCUAUCCAUCGUGGGCGAAGGACACAUGAGAGGAGCUGCUCCUAGUACGAGAGGACCGGAGUGGACGCAUCACUGGUGCAACUGUUGUCGAGCCAACGGCACAGCAGGGAAGCGAAAUGCGGACGGGAUAAACGCUGAAGGCAUCUAAGCGUGAAGCCCACCUCAAGAAUAAGUGUCCCAUUCGAAAGAAGUAAGACCCCUGGAAGACUACCAGGUGAUAGGUCAUCGGUGAAAGAGUGGUAACAUUUGAAGCUUGAUGAUACUAAUCGGUCGAGGACUUGAUC